rnacentral:snRNA from 1 species
GUGCUUGCUUCGGCAGCACAUAUACUAAAACUGGAACGAUACAGAGAAGAUUAGCAUGGCCCCCAUGCAAGGAUGACACGCAAAUUCGUGAAGCAUUUCGUAUUUUU